CCCACCCCCUGGCAGCACUUCACUGCACUUCUCUUCUCCCUCUGUCCUGCUGCACUAACACAGCAGCCAGCAUGAUCACUACUAACUAAUACUAACUCACUAACUAACACAGCAGCCAGCAUGAUCACUAUUACUAACUAACUAACUAACUAACACAGCAGCCAGCAUGCUCACUACUACUAAUACUAACUAACUAACUAACUAACUAACACAGCAGCCAGCAUGAUCACUACUACUAAUACUAACUAACUAACUAACUAACUAACUAACUAACACAGCAGCCAGCAUGCUCACUACUACUAAUACUAACUAACUAACUAACUAACUAACUAACUAACACAGCAGCCAGCAUGAUCACUAUUACUAACUAACUAACUAACUAACUAACUAACUAACACAGCAGCCAGCAUGAUCACUACUAACUAAUACUAACUAACUAACUAACACAGCAGCCAGCAUGAUCACUACUACUAACUAACUAACUAACUAACUAACUAACUAACUAACUAACUAACUAACUAACACAGCAGCCAGCAUGCUCACUACUACUAAUACUAACUAACUAACUAACACAGCAGCCAACAUGAUCACUAUUACUAACUAACUAACUAACACAGCAGCCAGCAUGAUCACUACUACUAACUAACUAACUAACUAACUAACUAACUAACUAACACAGCAGCCAGCAUGCUCACUACUACUAACUAACUAACUAACUAACUAACACAGCAGCCAGCAUGCUCACUACUACUAAUACUAACUCACUAACUAACACAGCAGCCAGCAUGCUCACUAACUAACUAACUAACUAACUAACUAACUAACUAACUAACUAACUAACUAACACAGCAGCCAGCAUGCUCACUACUACUAAUACUAACUCACUAACUAACACAGCAGCCAGCAUGCUCACUACUAACUAACUAACUAACUAACUAACUAACUAACUAACUAACUAACACAGCAGCCAGCAUGCUCACUAUUACUAAUACUAACUCACUAACUAAGUGGAACAGCUGCAGUGGAGGGAGUUCAUCAGUGACACCGACCUCAUCAACAGUUAUUGAGCAGUUUAUUUCCUCAGAGCUGACUGAUCGGUUAAUUAAAGGACAGUUAAUCAGGUUUAAAAUAGUCACUGAUCAUAACUCACUAUCCAGUUCACUAGUGAACUUGCAGACUGAUGAGUUCGCAGCCCAGACUCUUUAAACCUCCAGGCAGAAAUUUUGACCUAAACAUUUUGUACAGGGGGCGUCGUGGCUCAGGUGGAUAAGGCGCUAUACCAUAAAUCCAGGGACCCGGGUUCGAUUCCGACCCGAGGUCAUUUCCUGAUCCCUCCCCGUGUCUCUCUCUCCCGCUCACUUCCUGUCUCUACACUGUCCUAUCCAAUAAAGGUGAAAAAAGCCCCGAAAAAAAACCACCUAAACAUUUUGUACAAAUGCUGAGUAAAGCUGAGUCCGUGUGUUUACGCAGAUAAACAGCGUCACUUUUGGUUUAAAGCCGUUUACUAACAAUCAGAUUGUGUUAAUUGAAUAAACAGCGCUGCACAUUAUUAAUCAUAUCACAGCCGGAAUCAGAAUCAGAACAGCGUUUACUGCCGAGUCCGUUCCGACAUGCAUACAAGGACUCUGUUUUGGUGGUUGGUGCUUGAAAAGUUAAGAUAGAAGAACAAAAAAAGACAAAAGUAGUUUUUUUAAUAAAUAGAACAAAAAUAAGAAGAAUGUCCAAGUUUGAAAAGCGGACGUAUUUAAGGAGUCCGUGUCCGGGUUCUUUUGAAGUCCGAGCUGUGCGGUGUGACCCAGAAUGCGCAAUAAAGUUGACAGAAUGAAGAAGGUCGUGGUUCAGAGACGAAGUGCGUUAACGCCACAGAAUGAAGUGUUAGAGUUGAGAGUCAGGAGGGUCUCGGGCCUUAUUGAUGAGGCGUGAGGUUUUGGUUCUAAUGGACCACAACCUCCUACCAGUCAACUCCCAGGGGAGAUGGGUUUAAUAUUACUGAAAACUGAUUCUGGGUGAGGAGAGCGGUGCUGCAGGAUCACUGACGCGUCACUGCACCAGCUGCUGUUUACAUAAAAACAGAUUUGUUUUGCCGGAGAGAUCCGUGUUCCAGUCGGCUCUGAAAUGGCGGAAGCCGACCGGCUACGUCUCCGUGAAGAAGCAUGAAACAGAAGAUGAGUGAACGUCCCUGUUUCUCUCCACCAGCAGCUGGAGUUCGUCCGGUUUGUUGCACAGUGAGCGCACGUUCGAGAGAAACAUCACAGGUAGUGAGCAGAGUGUGACGUCUGCACCGACGGAGGCGUACGAGCGCACCGGCGUGUUUCCCUCUCCUCCGGCGUCUCACCCAGCGAGCAAAGGUGAGGCAUGUCCAAUGUUUCCACAGAAGACACCAGAGAAGUUGGUGAUCAGUCCGCUGGAGUUGUUCCCGUGAUGUUCACAAGCUCUUCUCUGGUGAGAGGUUCGAGUAUCGCAGCAGUGAACUGAGUUUACGAACAAAACAAGGCGAGACGGUGCUCGCCAACACGCCGAGGCAGCAACCCGCGGCGCCGUGUUAAUGUUAAUUCACCAGACCGUAAGGAGUGUGAUAUCGGACGGUGACCCGACAGUAGUGGCGUAAAGUGAAAGCGCUGGUUCACUGCUGUCCCCCAGGCGCCCAGCAGAGUCUCGCCAUCAUAAAUGUGCUGGUGUUGUUUCUGGAGCAAAGAAAGGAAUAAAUCUGCAUCGUAACUGCGAUGCGAAUCUCAUUAUUGGUCUCACUGUCACAAGACAAUGCAGUGAUUUAUUGAGGUGAAAAACAUGACACAAUUCACUGCCUCCUUCAUGGUGCUGUCAUAUUAUUAUUCAGGGGGAUCCUGCGCUCUGAUUGGCUGGCGAGCGGGUCUGUAUCCUACGAUACGGACCCUGGUUACGGACCUCUGGCGACACGCUCGUUCACAACAACAACAAACAUAGUAUAAUUUUUUGUCAACAUUUAUCUUUUUUUUUUUUCAUCUCGUCUUUUUCCGCUUAUCCGGAGCCGGGUCGCAGAGGCAGCAGUCUGAGCAUGGAAGCCCAAACUUCCCUCUCCCCAGACACCUCGGCCAGCUCCUCGGGAAGAACACCGAGGCGUUCCCAAGCCAGCCGAGAGGCAUAGUACCUCCAGUGUGUCCUGGGUCUUCCUGGUGGGAAAUGCCUGGAACACCUCCCCAGGGAGGCAUCCGAAAAAGAUGCCCGAGCCACCUCGGCUGAUUCCUCUCGAUGUGGAGGAGCAGCGGCUCUACUCCAAGCUCCUCCUGAGUGACUGCGCUUCUCACCCUGCGAAGGAAACUCAUUUCGGCCGCUUGUAUCCGCGAUCUUGUUCUUUCAGUCAUUACCCAAAGCUCAUGACCCCAUAGGUGAGAGUCGGAACGUAGAUCGACCGGUAAAAUCGAGAGCUUCGCCUUUUGGCUCAGCUCCUUCUUCACCACGACGGACCGGUAAAGCGACCGCAUCACUGCGGAGGCUGCACCGAUCCGCCUGUCGAUCUCACGCUCCAUCCUUCCCUCACUCACCGAGAUACUUGAGGCAGGACUUCCCCACCACCCUGGAGAGGGCAAGCCACCCUUUUCCGGUCGAGAACCAUGGCCUCGGACUUGGAGGUGCUGAUUCUCAUCCCAGCCGCUUCACACUCCCACCGCAGUGCAUGCUGAAGGUCUUUUUUUUU